UACGGAGGGGGCUAGCGUUGUUCGGAAUUACUGGGCGUAAAGCGCACGUAGGCGGCUUUGUAAGUUAGAGGUGAAAGCCCGGGGCUCAACCCCGGAAUGUCUCUCGAAACUGUCGAGCUAGAGUGCGGAAGAGGCAACUGGAAUUCCCAGUGUAGCGGUGAAAUGCGUAGAUAUUGGGAAGAACACCUGAGGCGAAGGCGGGUUGCUGGGCCGACACUGACGCUGAGGCGCGAAAGCCAGGGGAGCGAACGGG
rnacentral:rRNA from 1 species